rnacentral:rRNA from 1 species
GACCAACGCUGGCGGCAUGCCUAACACAUGCAAGUCGAACGGACAGAACAGGGAAGCUUUUCGGAGUGGAACUGGAAAGUUAGUGGCGGAUGGGUGAGUAACGCGUGGACAACCUACCUUGUAAAGGGGAAUAACCUCGAGAAAUCGAAGCUAAUACCCCAUAAUAACCUUGCUUCGCAUGAAGUAAGGAGGAAAGGCGGCCUUAGCGCUGUCGAUACAAGAUGGGUCCGCGUCUGAUUAGCUAGUUGGUGAGGUAAAGGCUCACCAAGGCGACGAUCAGUAGCCGGCCUGAGAGGGUGAACGGCCACAUUGGAACUGAGACACGGCCCAAACUCCUACGGGAGGCAGCAGUGGGGAAUCUUCCGCAAUGGGCGAAAGCCUGACGGAGCAAUGCCGCGUGAGUGAAGAAGGCCUUCGGGUUGUAAAACUCUGUCCUUAUCGAAGAGAGAGUGUUGUAGUAACUGACAAUACUAGGACGGUAGAUGAGGAGGAAGCCCCGGCUAACUAUGUG